UACGUAGGGAGCAAGCGUUGUUCGGAAUUAUUGGGCGUAAAGAGCGCGUAGGCGGUUUGGCAAGUCUGACGUGAAAUCCCGGAGCUUAACUCCGGAACUGCGUUGGAAACUGCCAGGCUUGAGUGUGGGAGAGGAGAGUGGAAUUCCCAGUGUAGAGGUGAAAUUCGUAGAUAUUGGGAGGAACACCGGUGGCGAAGGCGGCUCUCUGGACCACAACUGACGCUGAGGCGCGAAAGCUCGGGGAGCAAACGGG
rnacentral:rRNA from 1 species